rnacentral:rRNA from 1 species
GAAACUGGGGAUAAUACUGGAUAGGCAAUUAUUCCUGUAAUGGUUUUUUGUUUAAAUGUUUUUUCGCCUAAGGAUGAGUCUGCGGCCGAUUAGGUAGUUGGUUAGGUAAUGGCUUACCAAGCCGUUGAUCGGUACGGGUUGUGAGAGCAAGAGCCCGGAGAUGGAACCUGAGACAAGGUUCCAGGCCCUACGGGGUGCAGCAGGCGCGAAACCUCCGCAAUGUGAGAAAUCGCGACGGGGGGAUCCCAAGUGCCAUUCUUAACGGGAUGGCUUUUCAUUAGUGUAAAGAGCUUUUGGAAUAAGAGCUGGGCAAGACCGGUGCCAGCCGCCGCGGUAACACCGGCAGCUCUAGUGGUAACAAUUUUUAUUGGGCCUAAAGCGUCCGUAGCCGGUUUAAUAAGUCUCUGGUGAAAUCCUGCAGCUUAACUGUGGGAAUUGCUGGAGAUACUAUUAGACUUGAGACCGGGAGAGGUUAGAGGUACUCCCAGGGUAGAGGUGAAAUUCUGUAAUCCUGGGAGGACCGCCUGUUGCGAAGGCGUCUAACUGGAACGGUUCUGACGGUGAGGGACGAAAGUUAGGGGCGCGAACCGGAUUAGAUACCCGGGUAGUCCUAACUGUAAACGAUGCGGACUUGGUGUUGGGGUGGCUUUGAGCUGCUUCAGUGCCGAAGGGAAGCUGUUAAGUCCGCCGCCUGGGAAGUACGGUCGCAAGACUGAAACUUAA